ensembl:lncRNA
GGGGGAGGUGAAGAACCGUUUGAGAAGACACACAUCCAGCGCUGAGCGCAAGCUAGAUAGGGCUCUCCUUCGCUCCUCUCACACACGACCAGCUUACGCCAUUCAUUCUGCCCUCCCUUGCUCCGGCACACGCUGCAUUCCUACGGUAGUUUUUGGAUAGCGAGCGGCGAUGUUUCUCUGCAGAGCGGCUUGGCAAAGAUAUGGGCCUUUGGCAAGGAAGGUAGCCCAACAGUUAUCUAGAGAUGUGUUGCCACGACGACAAAUGUCAUCAGUCCCCGGUGGUACUGGUGAUAACAUCGUCUACGCCCUGCUGUGUGGCGGGGCCUUCGCUGGAGCCAUCGCAUACACAUACAGCACUGUGACCACAGACCACGCCAGAUUCAAUGACCGUGUAGCGGAUAUCAACGCUCGUCCCAAGACUGUGUGGUCGCCCAAACCAUGGCCUCCCAAGAGCAGGGAUGAGGAAGAGGAGGAUACAUCCACAAAACUGCAUUUCACAGAAUUCUGAGGACCAAUGGUGGGGAAAAGGAGCGGAUUCAUGGGCUCUGAAAUGAGUGGAGUCUUCAUGUAUUUUAUUUCAAUGAUUGAGCCAAAUGCUGUGAAAUGCCAUGAUGAUAAUCUACAGUAUAGUUAGUAGUGAUGUCUCCAAUCAUUGUAGGGUUCCUAAAUCCUCAUUGGUUAGUCACUGCAGAGCACCAAUCACAUAGCUUCUUACGCCCACUCUGAGAUCUCCCUGUUCUGGUUAAUAACUGCCUGAGCCAUUUGUCUCAUCUGCAAAAAAAUUCAGCCAAUUUAUCAGCAAUGAGUGCUUCCAACCUUCUGGCCUUAAAUGCUUUCUAUUUACAUAUAGUAGAACUGGCAUAAUGGUCUGAGACAGAUGACCAUUUAUUUGAAUUGACACCUGGAUAAGGUGUCAGGUCAAGAACAGGUUCUGCGCUCUGAUUUUCUGGACUUAGUUUUGGAAGUUUCACAACCCAAAGCCUUAGCUUUCUGUCAUUGGCAGAAAAAAUAUUGUUAGGGGACCCAAAGCAUGUAGUUGAUGGAAAACUUUCUGUUGACGGUAAUAUUUGGGAGGACCUGUUCCCUGUACACAAUGUUUGUUCCCUGUACACAAUGUCUUGGUUUCUCUAGAUGGUAAACUCUAGAUGGCCUACUCCUGUUGAUGACUUUGAUAUAGACAUUUUUAUCGGAGUGAUUCUGAAACUAGAAAACUCAGCCUCUCCUUUCUGGCCCCACCCCACCCAGCUUCUCCCGUC